GGAUACAGAUGAAUAUUUUCAACCCAAAUCUCAUAUAGGGAUCAUCAAUGUGACUCUAAAACAGAAAAUCUGAAGGCUGGCCUGUUGAUUCAAAGCUUUUCCACAUUGCUUUUUAUUACACCAUUACCCUUGCCAUGUUUCCUAGCGAACUUGCAAUAUGAACCGUGUGCAUUUGGGGGUCUGUUGUCUGUUCACUAAAGACAUUGCUCUGGAAUGGAGAUCUAAUCGAACUAUUUUAAAUUAGCAUGUGUAAUGAGUGAUAUCAAUUUUGACAAUUGUUCUUUAGGCUGGAUCACGCACUAAAAUAACAUUGUAUAACAGAUUGAUGCAAUCUUGUAGUUGGAAAUAUUGAGGGGGAAAAAGUGAUUUUGCUGAUGAUCUAUGCU
rnacentral:misc_RNA from 1 species